UACGAAGGGGGCUAGCGUUGUUCGGAUUUACUGGGCGUAAAGCGCACGUAGGCGGAUCGUUAAGUUAGGGGUGAAAUCCUGGAGCUCAACUCCAGAACUGCCUCUAAUACUGGCGAUCUAGAGUCCGGAAGAGGUGAGUGGAACUCCUAGUGUAGAGGUGGAAUUCGUAGAUAUUCGAGACAGAACACCAGUGGCGAAGGCGGCU
rnacentral:rRNA from 1 species